AUAUAUAUAUAUAUAUAUAUAUAUAGAUGAAUGUAUAUAUGGAUGCUGCCUGCUGAUAGCGACUGCUCCUUUCCUUAGUUCAUGAAAAUACUUCAAAAUGCAUCGAGACUGAAAAUUCACAGGAAAAUCCAAUUGCAAAUAGCAAAUGCGUUCGACGUGGCUCACACUGGCGGAAUGGGAAAUCUCUUUGGGAGAGGCCUCUUCAGCAUAAUUUUAUUUAUUUCUUUUUGGGAAAUGUAUGAAAAUGGUUUUAU
rnacentral:sRNA from 1 species